AAAGACUGAAUUUUUUGGUUUCCGUGUCCAACAUUUGACCGUCUAUCUUAUAUGAAAUUUUUUAUGAUUAGUAUUUUCAUUAUUGUUAGAUGAUAAAACAUAAAUAAUACUUUAUGCAUAACUUAUCUUUUUUAAUUUUUUCAUAUUUUUUUUUAAAUAAGACGAACGGUCAAACGAUGACACAGAAACCUAGGAAUUGAGUUUUU
rfam:Oryza barthii chromosome 11, whole genome shotgun sequence.